AUUGAACGCUGGCGGCAGGCCUAACACAUGCAAGUCGAGCGAGCGGCGGACGUGUGAGUAAUGCCUGGGAAUUGCCCAGUCGAGGGGGAUAACAGUUGGAAACGACUGCUAAUACCGCAUACGAUUGGCUUGUCCAGGUGGGUUUAGCUAGUUGGUGAGGUAAUGGCUCACCAAGGCGACGAUCCCUAGCUGGUCUGAGAGGAUGACCAGUCACACUGGAACUGGGACGCGGUCCAGAAUCCGACGGGAGGCAGCAGUGGGGAAUAUUGGGCAAGGAGGAAAACCCUAAUGCAGCCAUGCCGCGUAAGUGAAGAAGGCCUUCGGGUUGUAAAGCACUUUCAGCGAGGAGGCGUUACUCGCAGAAGAAGCACCGGCUAACUCCGUGCCAGCAGCCGCGGUAAUUC
rnacentral:rRNA from 1 species